UUAUAAAUUGUGACAGGAGGCAUAAAACCAC
rnacentral:piRNA from 1 species